rnacentral:rRNA from 1 species
GAUGAACGCUGGCGGCGUGCCUAAUACAUGCAAGUCGAGCGAACGGACGAGAAGCUUGCUUCUCUGAUGUUAGCGGCGGACGGGUGAGUAACACGUGGAUAACCUACCUAUAAGACUGGGAUAACUUCGGGAAACCGGAGCUAAUACCGGAUGAUAUUUUGAACCGCAUGGUUCAAAAGUGAAAGACGGUCUUGCUGUCACUUAUAGAUGGAUCCGCGCUGCAUUAGCUAGUUGGUAAGGUAACGGCUUACCAAGGCAACGAUGCAUAGCCGACCUGAGAGGGUGAUCGGCCACACUGGAACUGAGACACGGUCCAGACUCCUACGGGAGGCAGCAGUAGGGAAUCUUCCGCAAUAGGCGAAAGCCUGACGGAGCAACGCCGCGUGAGUGAUGAAGGUCUUCGGAUCGUAAAACCCUGUUAUUAGGGAAGAACAUAUGUGUAAGUAACUGUGCACAUCUUGACGGUACCUAAUCAGAAAGCCACGGCUAACUACGUG